AAUAGAAAGUUAAUUGAAUGAACUAUGUUCCAAUAAUUUCAUGUGGUUCUGGUAAAGCACAGUGCAUCCGGUCGAACUUCCCCCAUUAUGUAAUUUUAUGGAGGUAGUUUUGUAAAUUGGAUUGAAACAGGGGCUAUUCAAUGUGUAUGCAUUAAAAUAUAGGGAUUGUUUUUCAAUUAAAUAUAAAUCGAUUGAGCCUCUGAUGUGCUAGUAAGCAUCAGAUCUCCUCUGUGUAUAUAUAGUUAGGUACUCUUCUUUUUUUUUAUAGGUUCCGUCAUAUAUAUCACGGUCUGAAGUUGUAGCUAAACUUGCUUUCAUCUUCAGUUUCUAUCACUAUUUAAAGGUUUUCAUCAUUAUUCAUUUGGUGGCUAAAUAUUACUCAUGGGACGUUUCUAGAGAAUGCAAGACCAUGUUUGAGUGAGAAAUUGGUCUCGAUGAAAUUGAGAGUU